rnacentral:misc_RNA from 1 species
GUGAGUCAUCGAAUCUUUGAACGCACAUUGCGCCCCUUGGUAUUCCGAGGGGCAUGCCCGUUCGAGCGUCAUUAUAACCCCUCAAGCUUAGCUUGGUGUUGGGGCCUGCUGUUCUCGGCAGCCCUUAAAAUCAGUGGCGGUGCCAUCUGGCUCUAAGCGUAGUAAUACUUCUCGCUACAGGGUCCCGGUGGAUGCCUGCCAUCAACCCCUAAUUUUCUAUGGUUGACCUCGGAUCGGGUAGGGAUACCCGCUGAACUUAAGCAUAUCAAUAAGCGGAGGA